AUUGAACGCUGGCGGCAGGCCUAACACAUGCAAGUCGAGCGGAUGAAGGGAGCUCGCUCCUGGCUUCAGCGGCCGACGGGCGAGUAAUGCCUACGAAUCUGCCCUGCCGAGGGGACUAACGUACGGACACGGGAGCUAAUAUCGCAUCCGAUCUUAUGGAGAAAGGCGGGGAUCUUCGGACCACACCCUAUUAGAUGAGACUAGGCCGGAUUAGCUAGUUGGUUGGGUAAAGUCCUACCAAGGCGACGAUCCGUAACUGGUCUGAGAGGAUGAUCAGUCACACUGGAACUGAGACACGGUCCAGACUCCUACGGGAGGCAGCAGUGGGGAAUAUUGGACAAUGGGCGAAAGCCUGAUCCAGCCAUGCCGCGUGUGUGAAGAAGGUCUUCGGAUUGUAAAGCACUUUAAGUUGGGAGGAAGGGCAGUAAGUUUAUACCUGGCUGUUUUGACGUUACCAACAGAGUAAGCACCGGCUAACUUCGUG
rnacentral:rRNA from 1 species